UGCAUGCACACACACAGUGUUUUAAUUUUGCUACAAUACUCUUAACAUAAAAAAUUUCCAUUUGUGACAUUCAGUACAUUUGCAAUGUUGUGCAACCAUCACCAUGAUCCAGUUCCAGAAGAUUUCAUCACCCUAGAAGCAAACCUGUACCCAUUAAGCAGCGACUUUCUUAUCCUUGCCACUCCAACCUCCAUCUCCUGGCAACCACUAACCUGUCUUCUGUCUCUUCUGGAUAUUUCAUGUAAAUGGAAUCAUACAAUGUGGUCUUCUGUGUCUGGCUUCAUUCACUUAGCCUUAGCAACCUUCUGGGUACAAAUCACCUCUAGUGAAUUACUUUGAGACCCAUCUUUCAUUUCCAUCCUCUCUCUGCCCUCCUCAGGCCCUCAUUGCUUUAUUUGUGUUCUGUUUUGUGUGAAAGUGCCAGUCCUGCAGCCACCCACUAUAGGACUCCUCAGGGGCCCCACUGACAGGCCUUCUGCCACCACAUUCAGUCCUGAUUCUGGGGCUGCCCAUGGAAGUGAAAGACCAGCAAAUUGCCCUCAAACUUCUCCAAGAUUUUCAUAUUUUAAAAUAAAAUGUGAAAGGCACUUUUUCCCUUCCUGACAAAUCAACUUAAGGAAGAGCAGACUAUGGUGUGGCUGAGAGAGCACUGGACUCCAUGUGAGAAGAUAUUGCUGCUAUUUACUAUUGACGCAACCAUGGACAUGACCCUCUCCAGGGCCAGGACCACUUAACCUGCAUCUCAGCCUCCCCUAGGGGCAGCCAAGACCUGGCAAUAAAAGUCACUUCAUGAAUUGUCUGGGAAGAAUUCCUAGAAGACUACAAUGGGAAGAAAGAAUAUAGUUUAACAUUUUUGAGAGAUAAAGAUCAUGAUUUUAUUUUCAACCACUUUAGUCAGGCAUUGUCAGAUGUUAGUCUGAUGCUGAAGCUGGAAAAAUGCGGGGAAUGUUCUGGUGUAGCCCUCUUUAUUUGGCCAUAGAAGACACUAAAUCCCAGAGAGGAAAUGGGCAUGGAUGUUCAUAGAUACCCACUGUAUCACACAAAGUCCCAGCAGAAAUAGGAAGCAUACUUAAGAUAAUUCCAGAGGAUAUGUUUGUUUUUACAAAAGCACUAUUACCAAAGUAGGGCUGAAGUAUAGGCGAACCAGCAGAGAUAAUAUGACAACCUGAAGUGGAGCUGUUAACCAUCCUAGGGAUAGGAUGACCAACUUAUCCCCAUUUGCCUGGGACUUCCAAUUUAUUUAUUUAAACUUUUUAGAGACAGGGUCUUUCUCUAAGACUGAGGCUGGAGUGCAGCAGCACA